rnacentral:lncRNA from 1 species
GUAUAACCAUCUUCAGUACCACUGGGUGUCCUGUGUUUGGUGGAAGGCCUUAAGCAGAGACUUCCAGAAGAACCUCUUCACAGCAAAUCCCUGAUUAGCAAUGUAUAGUGACUGAAGGAUGCUGAUGUCUUAGAGGCCAAAGCCUGUGGAGACACGGAGUGGAGCUGUCAGGUGGAGAGGAAGGAGGAGACACGGAAAUGACACAGAAGGACACAGUUCCGGUUCCUGAGAAAACCAAACAGCCCACUGAGUGUUUCCUGUCACAGGUGAAGGAACCAAAAACAGAGGACUCCCGGAAGAGCAGGAAGUGGAAGAAGAAGAAAAUUUCUGAUAUUCUUGCAAAAUCAGAGCCCAAACCAGGGACCCCUGAAGACCUUCAGAAGCUGAUCAAGGGC